UUUAAAGAAAAAAAUUACGAUGCCGUCAUCGAAAAUUGCCGUAGUUUGUAUCAUCCUCAUUUCACUGGCUAAUCUUUAUGAAUGUAAUUUUUUCAAAGAUGACAAGCCAUUGACAAAUCCUAUCACAGGAAGAAAGGUAGGACAACCACCAUGCAAACCACAAGGAGAUCAUUUCGUCUGCACAAACUCUCAAGACCUGAUAAUGUAUACCAUCGAAGGAUGUUGGAAGAACUGUCGAACAAAAUAUUAACUAAUAAAUUUGAAGAGAAUUUAUAUAUCAA